AUGCUCACUCCAGCAGCACAUAUACUAAAAUUUGAAUGAUACACAGAAGACUAGCAUGGUCCUUGUACAAAGAUGACAUGCAAAUUCAUGAAGGGUUCCAUAAAAAA